rnacentral:rRNA from 1 species
UGUCCAGACUCCUACGGGAGGCAGCAGUGAGGAAUAUUGGUCAAUGGGCUUACGCCUGAACCAGCCAAGUCGCGUGAGGGAAGACUGCCCUAUGGGUUGUAAACCUCUUUUGUCAGGGAGCAACGCCGGCUACGUGUAGCCGGACUGAGAGUACCUGAAGAAAAAGCAUCGGCUAACUCCGUGCCAGCAGCCGCGGUAAUACGGAGGAUGCGAGCGUUAUCCGGAUUUAUUGGGUUUAAAGGGUGCGCAGGCGGAAUGUCAAGUCAGCGGUAAAAUUUCGGGGCUCAACCCCGUCGUGCCGUUGAAACUGGCGUUCUUGAGUGAGCGAGAAGUAUGCGGAAUGCGCGGUGUAGCGGUGAAAUGCAUAGAUAUCGCGCAGAACUCCGAUUGCGAAGGCAGCAUGCCGGCUCCACACUGACGCUGAGGCACGAAAGCGUGGGUAUCGAACAGGAUUAGAUACCCCCGUAAAA